CCUACGUGCGGCAGCAGUGGGGAAUAUUGGACAAUGGGCGAAAGCCUGAUCCAGCCAUGCCGCGUGUGUGAAGAAGGCCUUCGGGUUGUAAAGCACUUUCAGUGGGGAAGAAAGCCUUGGGGCUAAUACCCUCGAGGAAGGACAUCACCCACAGAAGAAGCACCGGCUAACUCCGUGCCAGCAGCCGCGGUAAUACGGAGGGUGCGAGCGUUAAUCGGAAUUACUGGGCGUAAAGCGCGCGUAGGCGGUCUGAUAAGCCGGUUGUGAAAGCCCCGGGCUCAACCUGGGAACGGCAUCCGGAACUGUCAGGCUAGAGGGCAGAGAGGAAGGUAGAAUUCCCGGUGUAGCGGUGAAAUGCGUAGAGAUCGGGAGGAAUACCAGUGGCGAAGGCGGCCUUCUGGACUGACACUGACGCUGAGGUGCGAAAGCGUGGGUAGCAAACAGGAUUAGAUACCCCGGUAGUC
rnacentral:rRNA from 1 species